CCUACGGUGUGCAGCAGUGAGGAAUAUUGGUCAAUGGACGAGAGUCUGAACCAGCCAAGUAGCGUGAAGGAUGACUGCCCUAUGGGUUGUACACUUCUUUUAUAUGGGAAUAAAACGUUCAACGUGUGGGAUUUUGUAUGUACCAUAUGAAUAAGCAUCGGCUAACUCCGUGCCAGCAGCCGCGGUAAUACGGGGGGUGUAAGCGUUCUCCGGAUUUAUUGGGUGUAAAGGGUGCGUAGGCUGUGAGGUAAGUCAGCGGUGAAAUGCCCCCGCUCAACGGGGUGAAGUGCCAUUGAUACUGCCUUGCUGGAAUGCGGAUGCCGUGGGAGGAAUGUGUGGUGGAGCGGUGAAAUGCAUAGAUAUCACACAGAACACCGAUUGCGAAGGCAUCUCACGAAUCCGCGAUUGACGCUGAUGCACGAAAGCGUGGGUAUCAAACAGGAUUAGAUACCCCAGUAGUC
rnacentral:rRNA from 1 species